AGCAGCCGCGGUAAUUCCAGCUCCAAUAGCGUAUAUUAAAGUUGUUGCAGUUAAAAAGCUCGUAGUUGAAUUUCGGGGUUCUACCGUUGGUCGGGCUAACCAGUCUGUACUAGCGUGUAGAAUUCCUACCUUCUGGGGAACCAUCAUGUUAUUAAUUUAGCGUGGUGGGAAACCAGGACCUUUACCUUGAAAAAAUUAGAGUGUUCAAAGCAGGCUUACGUCUGAAUACAUUAGCAUGGAAUAAUAAAAUAGGACGGUGGUCCUGUUUUGUUGGUUUCUGAAUCACCGUAAUGAUUAAUAGGGAUAGUUGGGGGGCAUUAGUAUUCAAUUGUCAGAGGUGAAAUUCUUGGAUUUAUUGAAGACUAACUUCUGCGAAAGCAUUUGCCAAGGAUGUUUUCAUUAAUCAAGAACGAAAGUUAGGGGAUCGAAGACGAUCAGAUACCGUCGUAGUCUUAACCAUAAACUAUGCCGACUAGGGAUCGGACGAUGUUAAAUUUUAUUGACUCGUUCGGCGCCUUAC
rnacentral:rRNA from 1 species